UACGAAGGGGGCUAGCGUUGCUCGGAAUCACUGGGCGUAAAGCGCACGUAGGCGGAUUGUUAAGUCAGGGGUGAAAUCCUGGAGCUCAACUCCAGAACUGCCUUUGAUACUGGCGAUCUCGAGUCCGGGAGAGGUGAGUGGAACUGCGAGUGUAGAGGUGAAAUUCGUAGAUAUUCGCAAGAACACCAGUGGUGAAGGCGGCUCACUGGCCCGGUACUGACGCUGAGGUGCGAAAGCGUGGGGAGCAAACAGG
rnacentral:rRNA from 1 species